CCCCGCGACUCCGACUGGCUUUGGGCCGAGUCCGCAUCCCUCCGUCGUCGUCUCGCUUUGGCGCGCCGACAGAGAAGGAGGAGGAAGAAGGAGGCUCGGCGUGGUUGGACAAGCUUUUUGAGAGCCUUCGGUGCCGGCUGCUACACCCUCUGAAAUUGAUCGUGCAAAGGGCGUCGCGAUUUAGAGCCUUACCAGACGAGCCAGAGCUAGUGAAGUACCUUAUACAGGUAGUUGUAAUUUUUGAGUUCUUAUACAUACCGUUAUUUCUGUUUCUCGCGAGACGAGCUUUUGUGUACAGAUGUUGUAUGUAUAGAGAACUUUUAUUUACUACCAGGUUAUGUUUUGUUUC